AAUAGAUACCCCGGUAGUCCUAGCCGUAAACGAUGAACACUAGGCGUAGUCGGUAUCGACCCCGGCUGUGCCGUAGCUAACGCAUUAAGUGUUCCGCCUGGGGAGUACGGCCGCAAGGCUAAAACUCAAAAGAAUUGACGGGGGCCCGCACAAGCAGCGGAGCGUGUGGUUUAAUUCGUCGCAACGCGAAGAACCUUACCAGGGCUUGACAUGUGGCGGAAAACGGCGGAAACGUCGUCCUCCCGCAAGGGACCGUCAUGCAGGUGUUGCAUGGCUGUCGUCAGCUCGUGUCGUGAGAUGUUGGGUUAAGUCCCGCAACGAGCGCAACCCCCGUGGCAUGUUGUAUCUCUCAUGCCAGACUGCCGAGAGAAACUCGGAGGAAGGUGGGGAUGACGCCAAGUCAGCAUGGCCCUUACGUCCUGGGCUACACACACGCUACAAUGGCCGGUACAACGGGUUGCCAAACCGCGAGGUGGAGCUAAUCCCUUAAAGCCGGUCUCAGUUCGGAUUGCAGGCUGCAACUCGCCUGCAUGAAGCC
rnacentral:rRNA from 1 species